GACGAACGCUGGCGGCGUGCUUAACACAUGCAAGUCGAACGGACAGGCCCUGCUUUUGUUGGUUUCUCGAUUGCCGAACGCGUGAGUAACACGUGAGUAACCUGCCCUUAACUUUGGGAUAACUUCACGAAACUGGGGCUAUUACCCGAUAUGAUCUUCUGCUCCAUGGUGGUGAUUGGAAAGUUUCGGCGGUUGGGGAUGGACUCGCGGCUUAUCCGCUUGUUGGUGGGGUAGUGGCUUACAAAGCCUUUGACGGGUAGCCGGCCUAGGAGGGUGGACGGGGACAUGGGGACUGAGAUACGGAGCAGACGCCUACGGGAGGCAGCAGGGGGGAAUAUUGCACAAUGGGCGGAAGCCUGAGGCAGCAGCGCUGCGAGCGGGAUGACGGCUUUCGGGUGGUAAACAGAUUUCGAAUGUGACGAAGAGUGAGUGACGGUAAUGGGUAAAGAAGCAACGGCUAACUACGUG
rnacentral:rRNA from 1 species